rnacentral:lncRNA from 1 species
GUGCCCAGACAAUCAGUGGGUGAUGGCCUUACAGCAGAGGCCAUGGCUGCUUGGCACACCAAAGCAAGGAGUUUUCCGUAUUUGGGAGACAAUUUCCAUUGCAACCAAGCAGUGUGACUGCAGCACAUGGAGCUUGGUGAUGGGGAAGCUGUGAGGAUGUAGCAGCACUGCCUUUUGCAAGAAUGCCCCUGAGGUCUCCAACAGCUUUUUGAGAAGCACACAGGUCCCACAUCUUCCUUGUUUAAGGGGCAUCUGCUCACAUUAGGUCUCUGCCCUAGUUUGAAAUACCAGUUUUGCUCUGCCCAUAAAAUAGUGCCUUGUGAGCACCGCUCCAACAAUGACUCCAUGGAGGACAUAUGUACACCUCUGCUCUAUAAAAGACUCUUCCUGAACAGAAAGGCUUUGCAGAUGCAGCCAGAAGCUGGAAGAAAGGAAAUCUCUUCAGGUGAUAGAGCUCAGCGUUUUGUGAGUCUCAGAACUAUGGGUGACCAUCCAUGCUCAGAAGGGUCAUCUGAACCAGCAGAACUCCGAUGGACUCCACCAGGCUCAGCCAAGGGUCUCCUUCCAAGCCCAAGGAGCAGCAGCUGCCACCUUGUAUGGAUGCCCUAAGACUGACUUUCCUUCUGCAGAGCCAAACCUUCUCCUGAGCACUUGGGAAAGCUGGGUCAUGAUUCCUCUCAUUGAGGCACAAUCUUAUUUUUGGAGGCUGAGGUGGAACCAGAGGCACUGGGGAGGAGUAAAGAAAAGGGAAAAUCCACAGCUCCUUCCUAGCAGCUGGAUGCCUUUGAUGUAUGCUCACCCUCCUGAAGGGUGUUCCUCUGGCUGGAAGCACAGGCACUGCCCCAACAGGCUGCCUGCAACUUAUCCCCCAGGAAGGGGCAAGUGUGUGGAGACCAGAGAAGAGACUGAAGGAUGCAGAGAGCACAGAGGCCACACAGGUGUGAUCAGGAUCGUGUACCUGCUGUCACUUUGGAUAAGGACUAUCUAUUUCAAGUGGUUUCCUGCAAAGUCAACAGGGCUGAGUUUCUCUGAGAGGUCAUAAGAAUUAUCUGGAACUCCCAAGUGUGUCUAUUCAGACCUGCAUCCUCUAUCACAGCUUGGCCAGCUUUGUUACUUCAAGAUCCCAUCAGGUACAUAGCCCUAAAGCAGCCACCAGAAGCCCAAAGAACAUAAGCACAUAUUUAACUUUGAGCUAAAGGAUUCCUUUAGACGUCAGUUUUAUUACCCUUGUGCUUAAAGCUAGACACGUGUCUUUUGUGGAUCCUAACAGCAUCAAUAAUUUACAUUGUGGAAGCAGCUAGAGGCCCCAUUUAUAUUGAGAUUGUUGUACAAACAAAAUAAUUGACAGUCUCUGCCCUAAAAAUCUUCCAGACUGGAAAGUGAAUCUGCAAUUCCCUUUGUAGCUUGCUCUUCCCAGAUUAAUUUUCACUCAUAUUUAAUCCAACUUAAACACUUCCAUGCAGCAAUAUCAGCAUGUUAUUUUUAAAUUCAGCUUUUAC